rnacentral:rRNA from 1 species
UACGUAGGGCGCAAGCGUUGUCCGGAAUUAUUGGGCGUAAAGAGCUCGUAGGUGGCUUGUCACGUCGGGUGUGAAAGCUUGGGGCUUAACUCCAGGUCUGCAUUCGAUACGGGCUGGCUAGAGGUAGGUAGGGGAGAACGGAAUUCCUGGUGUAGCGGUGAAAUGCGUAGAUAUCUGGAGGAAUACCGGUGGCGAAGGCGGCAUCCUGGACCGGCAUUGACGCUGAGGAGCGAAAGCUAGGGGAGCAAACGGG